UACAGGGGAGCUUGUGAAGCAGGCUGAGAGGAAGUAUCCAAACUUCGACCCUUUUACCUGAUGCGGAUAAUGCCGCCGUAGGAAGUCAG
rnacentral:ncRNA from 1 species